rnacentral:sRNA from 1 species
AGGAGAAGGGUUUUUGCUGGCUAACAGUUUUGAUGAUUUUUUUUCCUGUGGUUUGUUUGUUUUUUACCUCGCUGCUUUCACUUGGGGUAAACGAGUAGACAAGGGCAGGUGGUGGUUGGUAGAAAAGACACAUUCAUGUCAGAGCAAAAGCCCCAAAGACUAGAAUUCUACAUACCCUGUGCAUCAUGCCCUGUGCCCUCUACCCCAUGUCUUUUCUUGCCCCCUUUAGUAACAUGGCAUGGGGAUGAAGCCUUGUACUCUUGGGUUUGGGUGGGGUACUCUAUACCAAGUCCUAUCACAUUUCAAGAGUGGGUGAGGUCCUGAAUGAAGGCUGCACAUGGAGUCAAUGGAUGUGCCAGGCUCUAGAGGAUCUAGAGAUGAGAGUCAGAGUUAAUGGGCAAAGGCUAAAUUAGAACUUGACUGUUCUGUAGAUGAGAUGUGAGCUAAACAUGAUGUGAACAUACAGAAAUGAAAUAUAUUAUUUUACCUAUUGUCACUAGAAUACUGCUAUACUCUUGUAAUUGAUUUAGCCUCUAUUUUUAACUAUUUGUUUUAAAACAAGACCCUUACUCACUAUGAAUCCAUUAUAGAAAGUAUUAGCUCAGUGAUUAUUUUCCCUACUAUACAUUUUUUGUUCUGUGUAUAUGCAUACAUGUUCACAUUCAUGGAUACCUGAGGUUGAUAUCAGCUGCUUUUUUCAAUGACUCUCCACCUUAUUUUUGAGAUAGGGUCUUUCACAGAUCAGUUAUGUUACCUGGACAGUAAGUCCCUGGGUCCUCCUGUCCCUGCCUUCUCAGUGCUGGGAUUGCAGGCACAUACACAAUUCAUGGGAUCUGAGGAUCAAACUUGAAUCCUUGUGCUUGUGUGGACAUCAGUCAAUGACCAGGCCAUCUCCCUAGAUCUCUGCUGCAUUUAGUGGAACCUGUACCCCUUCCACUGUAUUUAUUUUUAUAUCCUAAACAUUAUUAUUGGCUCAUAAUAUAUGUUCAGUAAAGAUUUAUUGAGUGACUAUAUAAAAUGAACACCAUUAUCUAAGAGAACAGGACAUGGAAGCUACUUAACUGUUAAUACUUAGAAUACUGUAGGUGAAGCACAUAUAUAUGGCCGCAUGGUGACUAAGCACUGUGAUGCUUUCGUUCACUUUUUAGGUGACACGCGAGCUCUGAGAUUUGGCUUGUCUAAGCAUUGGAACCAGGGUUUUAAUUCUUAAUGUUCUAGAUGUCUUUGCAAGACAAGGCGUUGCUAGGUCAUGAUGGAAAGCAAUCAUACUCUGGAUGGGAGCUGGCUCAGUGGGAAAAGUUUUUGCUGCACAAGCAUGAGGACUCCGGCUCCAUCCAUAAGACUUGCACAACAGGAAGGUAUGGUGGCACAUGCUUAUCAUCCCAGCACCCAGAGACAGAGACAAGAAGAUCCCUGGAGCCCUCCGGUAUGUCAGCCCAGUCUAAUUGGUGAACCUUAGCCCAGUGACAGACCUCGUCUCAAGAAAACAGAACAGUGCAUGGUACUGAAGGAUGUGUUCUGACUUCCACAUACACUGGCAUCUAUGUAGAGUUGCAUACUCUGCACAUACACGCACCACAGAGAUUAUACAUACAUUAUAUACAUGCAUCACAGAUACACAUCAUACCACACACUCAUACACACAUACACACUCACAUACACAUACCUCCCUACACACAUAUACCACACACAUGCAUACCAUGUCCAUUUACUACUCUCCCACCCCACACAAGAGUUAUAUUCUGUGAAGUCUUACUAUGUAGCCCAGCUUGGUCUUUCUACCUUUCUACCUCUGAAUGUUAACAAAAUAUAUAGGAUCGAGCCCCUAGCCCCAGCAUGAAAGUGUUUUCCUUUUAUUUUGGUGUCUAACUUUUGCGGCAGGUAUACUUCUAGACUCUGAGAAGUGGGGGAUGGAGAAGCACAGACUAUGAACUUGUUACUCAAAGACCAUUUGCAUCAUUUGACCUUCACAAACUCAAUGUCAACCUGUCUCGGUGUGUAUAUCUAUGCCAUUCACCAGCUAAGACAGAUACUUGUAAACAGGCAGUCUUCUUUGAUUGUCCCAGCCCUCCCUGCAAAGUUUUCAAAGAUACAACAAACCGCUGUUCACUCUUACACAGGAUUGCUGUAAUUUAUUUUACCUGAGGGCAAAAUCUUAGCUAUUUAGGAAGUCUUAUAAAAAUCUCCAGAUGGCUUAAUUAUACUAUUUUAGGAACCAAGGACAUAAAAAUAAAAUGGAUAGAUAAGCACAACUCAGAAUCAUAGAGGAACAAAGAGCAAAAGUCAAAAAAAAUUAUCUGAGUCUUCAAAGAUGUGUGCUUCUGACUCAGGGUGAGACUCAAGCAACAGGAAGAACACGAAAUUCCUCCACCUGAUAAAGAACAGUUAACAUCAGAGCAUGGAGGAAAUCCCUCAGUCACCUUGAAUCCUGACUCUUCCACAAUCUAUAGACAAGUAACAGAAGACUGUUCUGCAAGCUGAGAAGUCACCCAGCAGUGAGGAGAGGCUUUAUUCUAAACGGACCUGGUGUUCUACAGAACCACAUGAGUCUAGGUAUGCAUGCUACACCAGGCUGCAUUUUAUUCUUUUAAAUAUUCUAAGGGCAGAAGCUAGUUUGAGGGUGAGAGGCCAGGGGCUGGGUUUUAUAAACCCAGCUUUAUUUAUUUUCAAUUAUGAACCCUUCCAGGUUGGAAAUAUCUCACAGAUGAUAAAGUGAGCAACAGAAAAUCACAGAAGUUUCUCAAAGUUACACAACUAACAGCAAUAAUCAGAGGAAGGACUGAACUUGUGUCUAAACUCACAACGUUUGUUAUCCUGAUUCUCUCAAGUCAAAUAAUGAGCAAGUGGUCAGGACUGAUGGCAAAGCUAUUUGGGGCUCUUCUUCUGGGGUCUUCGGUUAUUUUCUGUAUGAUCUCAUAUAAAUAUUUAAUAUAGCUGUGCCUGAAAGUCACAUAGAAAAAUCAGAUGUCCUCUUACAGUGAAAUGAACAUUAACAGGACAAUUAAUGACAAACCUCUGCUGUGUCCUAUGACAUAGGUACAAGAUGAGCAAAGGCCAGGUAGGAUUAUUUUAAUAUGACUUUCUUCAUAAAGAGCAAAUACUAUUUGAAAAUGGUUCUUGGAUUCUCAAAUACCACAGUACAUCUAAGCAGAACUUGAUUCUUUGAAGACACAGAAAGAAGUGUCUGAUCAAUGCUACUUUAAAAAGUUUGGAUGAAAAUGAUUCUAUAUUGGGGCAGCCCAUCUGACCCACUGGCCUCUGUCUGCUUUCUACCAGAAGAAAAAAUUUCAGGCUGAAUUGUAAGGUGGUUGCUUUUCUUACUGUCUUCUGAUUCAAGAACUUCAGAUGUAAAUUUUAGAUAUGUGUGUUUCAUUUGGAAUAUCCGUAGAGGUCAAAAAAUAAGGGUCCAAGGAGAAAGGGAGAUUGAAUGUGGUACUAUUAAGGGGUAUAAUGGGCAUCUCCAUAAAAUCUCUCUUUUCAGGGAUCAGGGAAGAAGAAGUGAAAGAAUGUAAGAUCCAGAGGUGAUGGAGGACUUUAUGGAAUCAAGGCCUUCUGGAUACAUAUAAAAACUCUGGACACAUAUAUAAACUCAGUAAGUCUGAGGCAGCAUGCAUAGGACCUGCAUGGGUCUGCAGAUUGGGUCCUAGAGUUGAAAGGAGACGUGGGCGCAUGCCCCUAUCCCUAACUCAGAAGCUAUCUCCAACUGAUAACCACUUGCAAAUGAAAAGCCAGUUUUCUCCAAGGGACUCUCACUAGGCAACAAAUCGCUUAUAAGGUUAGGGCCCAUGUCCAGCAGUCAAAGGUCAACACUAAAUGACCUAAAUAAAUGCUAUUGUAUUAUAUUAUUGUAUUGUAUUACUACUCUUUGAACUCCUGUUUGUUUUCUAAGGGAAGUCAGAAAGGGGUUAAUCUGGAUGGGAGGGGAUGUAGGGAGGAACUGGGGGAGGGGAAACUGUAAUCAGAACAUAUUGUAUGAAAAAGAAUCUAUUUUCAAUUUAAAAGUGGGGGCAGUAAUGGACCAAAAAUUAUAAAUGGGGUGGGAGGUGGGAAGAUAUGCAAAAAAACUAAAACUAAUGAAAACUAAUUAAUACUGCAUGUCUUUUGAGAAAGUAGAAAAUCUGCUACUGUAGACAUUUAUCAAAAUAUAUACAUACAGAUAUAUACAAAGAGUUUAAAUAGAGCUACUUUAUAAUGGGGUGAUAAUGUUCUGUUAGACACUUCAGGCUAACAAGUGAAAGGCCCAGGUUCAGAAAUGGGCUACUUCUUUAGAGCUAUGGCCAGUGAGGUUCCAUAGAUCCACAAAUAGUCUUUUGCCAGUGCUCUAGGUUGCCCUCCAGAACUUGAUAAGACCUUAUUGAUAAACACACCUCAUACCUGAGACAAAGAAUAUGGAGAAAUCAAGUUGGUUUCAUCCCUACUGGUUAGUUUCCUUGGUACUGCCAGGCAGAGAAAGGUUAUCAUCAAUAUUACUCAGUCAUGCAGCUUGUGAGUCAUAAUAAUGGCCCAUUUGCUAAGACAUGGCCACUGGUGCAUUAGUGGCACAAAAGUUAUGGGAGCAAACAAUCACUCUCUGAUUGAAUUUAAGGCCCAUUCCAUAAGUUAAAACUGAUACCUGGCAUUAUUAUCUGGGCCAAGAACUUGAUAAUGGAACUACUAGCAUUAUGGAUAUAAGUAUAACUUACUAAAUGACUUCUUUUUAUACCCAUAGAUUAGUACACCUCUCAAACUUCAACAGAGAAUCUUCUUUUUGCAGGAGAUAGCAACUAAUACAGGUACCUAUAAUUGGUCAAGGCACAGAGAAUGAGAAACGGUGGAUUGCUUAUUCCUAAAGGGGUCAUCAUACCAUAUCCCUCUUCCUAGGGCUCAGGGAUCAUUGUAAAAGAAGGGGCAGAAGAACUGUAAGAGCCAGAUUUGGUCGAUGACUCUUAGGAAAGCGUUUUGCAGACACAAGAGGGAGGUUGCAGAUGAGAACUUUCACCAGUUUUGACAACAUGCCCAAGUCCUACCCAAGCCAGACAAAAUCUCAGCAUGGAUGUAAGGGGUGGUCACAAAGCCCUACCCCUAGCUAAGCUCUAUGGGCAAUUGGCAGCUUCUGGAAGAGUCAGUUUUCUUUGAGGAUUGGCCCCUGAUAGUUUGGCAGGUUUCAGUGAAGGGCUCCAGACCUUUUGUGUUUGGGUAUCACAAAUUGGACUUGGUGGUUUUAAAAAUUAAGAAAAACAAGUACAAAGUUGGAUAAGUAGGGAGGAGGAUGAAUCUGGAAGGAGCUGAGGAAGUGAGGAAAAUGGUAUUCUCACAGAAUUAAUUUUUUUAAAGGGAAAGGAAAACUUUAUAUGAGUUGAGGUCAUCCUAUGUACAAGAUGCUGUUACUCAAGGGCUUUCAUUGCAUAUCCAGUGGGGCUUUUGUUUUUAACCCGGUCUUGCUAGUUCAUUUUGGUUGGUCUGAAAUUGCAUCAGACUUGGAGCAAUCCUCCUGCUUCUGCUUCUCUAGCUCGGGGGUUACAGGCCGGUGUCACCCAAGAGGAUUUUUGAAGUAAAUAUUUUGACACAACAUGUGAGAAGUGCCACAGUAAGGUGCAGAUUAAACACUGUGGGUGUACGGAGGCGGUGAAGAUUGUUUCAAGUAGGAAGACUUGGAAACAUUCAGGGGAAAGGUAGCAUUUGAUUGGUGCCUUAACACAAGAACAAAUUUAGACAUGUGGAGAUAACGAGAGAAGCAAUCUAGAAGGAAGCAAAACCAGGGAAAAUAUAAAAGAAAUUUAGUGGCGUUCAGUAAGCUAGAGGCUCUUGUGAAAGACAUUCAAAUGAACACAAAGGAAGAAGUUGGCUGGAAUCAGGGCCUGGGGAUCUCAAUAGCUGACUUGAAAGUGUGUGUGAGUUUUAUGCACAGAUUGAGAGGGACAACUGAAUAUGUUUAAGAAUGAUUGUAUCUGACCUGCCCUUUGACAAAUGACUCCAACCCUUUCCAAAAUGGCUGGGGUGGGGGGAUGCAGAGGGAACAUGAGGUGUUGGUUUAGGUAGGCACUGUGGAAUCCACAGCAGGUCUGAGCUAAGGUGCUGAAGGUGAAGAGGACAUGACAGUGGACAACUGGGGAAGAAUCAGCAGACUUCCAUCCCUGUUCAGACGUGUUUCCAGAAAUAAGGAGGUCCAUGGUUAGAAGGGAGCUGAGACCUUCAGAAGAAGCAGAAACAGAGGGUGUGGGGCUUCAGGAAUCACGGGAAAUAGUAAGUUUGAAGUUCAUUUUACACAGCCCCAAGCAGGUAUGUCCAGGAAGAGGGAAUGGUCCAGCAGAAGUGGGAAAGAAUCACCGUGCACAGUAUCUGAUGGAAGCCAUGAGCUUUUUUCUACAAUGAUUGGCUAGAGGGCCCCCAGCUUUACCCCGAGAAUUUAUUGGUGAGUUCUUCAUUCAUUCUUUCUUUGUAGACACUGCUUCAUUUGCAUUCAGUGACAUGCAUCUUUGUGUGGGGGACUCUGAGCUUUGUCUCCCUCUACAAGGUCACUGAUAGAUGCGGGAAACUAAAAUUUCUGUCACUCAAGUAGCUCUUCCUCAGGUAAAGAAGCAACCAGUGUUCAGAAGAGACCCCAUUCAGAGAGUGGGUGGUGUUCCUAGGAAGGGGUUGCUACUAGUAUUAUAUUUUAUAUAAAAUUUUAUAUUUUAUAUUUGCUCCACAGAGAUGAGGGAAAAAGUGAAAUUUUAAUAUAUUAAGAAUGUAUUGAGGGAAUAUAUUGAGGGAAUGUAAUUUUCUUUCUGAUUAUAUAGGUUUCUCUGUGUGUGUGUGUGUGUGUUUGUGUUUUAAUGUGUGUAUAUGUAUGUAUGAAAGCCAGAAGUCAGUCUUGGAUGUUGUUCACUUGGUUUAUUGAGAUGGGGUCUCUCACUAGAACCUGGACACAUCAAUUAGGCUAGGCUGACUAGCCAGCAAACCCAGGGUAUCUGCUUGUUUCCACCUCCCCAUCACUGGGAUUAUAAUCGCUUGCCAGCAGACCUGCCUCUUUAGAUGAGUGCUGAGGACUGAAGGAAGACCCUUGGAGUCUGCAUGACAAACACUUUAUUGAGCUCUCUCCCAGCUUCUUGAUUGCACAGCUUUUAAGUCUCCAAUACGCAGUAGCAUUGCAGGGCAAGGAAGUAGGACAUGCUUCCACUGCUUGACUUCAGCAAGACAUAAUUCAUCAAAAUGAAAGGGCUGUCUGCAUGAGAAGUAAUCCCUGACAGUUCCCUUCUUCGGAAAACUUGAAUGAAAUUAUCUCUGGCUCCAUCACUACUUCUGAGGCGCCAUAUCCAUGUCUACUUUACCAAGUCCGCAAACAAUUAGCUUUAUUUAUUGUCCCUAAUUUAAAGUACAAAAUGAGUCAUAUUAAAGUGAACAAACCACACGCAGUGAGAGCUGUGGAGGUGGAAUACUCCCCCACUUCCCUAAAAACUGUAAUGUCUACAGUUAUGAAACUAUAGCUUUUCAUUAACGAGUUGUGCUAUUACACAAUGGAUACACUGAUUAUCAUCCAUUAGUAGGUAACGAGCAACAACCGAAGCAUUGAAAAAUUGUAAUUAUGGUUAUUUAUCAUUGGCGAUAUAGUGAUAUUUAUGAUUCUAAUAAGUUAAAAGAUCAUUUUACACACAGAGGCAUAGAGACCCGUGAUGAAUGAUUGGGGCAUGUGAGUGGCUAUCUGACCACAGGAUUUUUUUAGUUCUCUGACUUGACUGUGAACCCGGAAGAGAGAAUGAAUAUGACUCAGUAAACAGGGCAAGAACCAGCUGCGUGUGAUGGGAUGCUGGUGUGGAGAGUUUCAGGCACCAUGCAUGCCUUAUAAUUUAUAGGAACCUGUGGUGUGGACUUUCUCAAGAGCAGCUGCAUGGAAAGCUGUCUCUUGUUUUCCCCUCUGCCUGGUGUGAACUUAGCAUGAGAAGACAUACAUAAGAUACACUGUGGUUGCUGCAAAGCCGCAAUCCCCAGGCUGUUGGCAUCUUGUGUGAGUAACUUUAUCAGCGGAGAAGGGCAAAGAACAAACGAGCAUUUUGUAUCAGAAUUGUGCUGGUGUUUUGCUCUCACGGGCAAGCAGACUGGUUAAGUUUCCUCCUCAGGCAAGGGUAUAUGUCCUGCUGUAUCCCAAACUGACAAAUCAUAUACCAAAAGAGAGAUUAAUUUUAUUUUUAAUCACAACAACCUAUGAGCUUCAGUACACGUUGGCUGGGGCAGAGAAAAAGAAAGCAUCAAUAUUUUCACUGUGCAGUCACUACUGCUAUACCCUCCAUGGUCUGUCUCCAUAUUUCCUAUUUAGCUCAGGCCCAAGAGACCAAGAUUUUUCCACUUUGAAGCCUUCAUCUUCAAAUACUUCAAGGCUCUGGAGCCUUAGAGGCACAGACACUGAUUCAUUACUCUUCUGCCUUACGCACUACCCUUCGCGAUUUCACAUCAGAAUGGCACCAGCUGUCAUAUUUUGAGGGAGGCUAGAGUUGGGAUUUACCAAGUCUAUCUUGGUUUAGCCUGGGUGUCUAAAGUUUGUGUUGUCUGUUUGUCCUAGCUAGAUACCCUCUGGGCCUCCAUUCCUGUGCUUGUUAAGGAGUCAAAGGCAGAAGGGCACACCCCACAGUCAGGCAGAGCCUUGUGUUUUGAACCUCUGCAUCGAGACAUGUACUUUUCCUGAAGCAGCAUACUCCCCCUGCUUAUUAAAAAGUCUAAACCACCACAACCAAGUCUCACCUUCUGAUGAUGCAGAAUAAGUCAUUGUCUCAAUUAAACUGCUUCCAGCACUGGUGAUAUGCUGUAGUGAAUGACAGUUAAAUAGUCUAUAUUUUCAUUUUACCUAAAAACAUCUUCUAGGGAGGCCGGAAGCUGUGCAUGCCAGGAACCUGGGAUAGACUUGCUUUUUAUUUCCAUAUCAGUUUCAUUAGGUUGAGUAUACUAGGAAGGCUUUAGCAUUAAGUCAUAACAGUUAAUUCUUAAUAAAACCCAAAUUAGUAAAGUCAAGGGGGAUGAAUUAUAUUUAAGUGGCUUUGACUUAAACUUUUAAUUUGACUUGCAGCAGCUGGAUUUCGAGUUUCUCUUUCAUAUUCUGUCUUCCCUGGUUUCAGUCACAUCUAUCCACAUAUUAUCAUCUGUUACCCAUAUAUCAUCUGCCAACCAUCCAUCCAUCAUCCAUCACCUAGUCAUCAAUGCAGCAUGCAAGCAAGUAUUCCACUAUCUAUCCAUCUAUCCAGCCAGCAUCUAUGCAUCCAACUAUUCAUCAUUUGUUAUCCAUCCAUCAUCUAUUCACCCAUCUGGCAUGUGUGCAUGUAUGCAUGCAUCCAUCCAGCACCCAUGCAUCUAUUAAUCAUCUGUUAUCUAUCCAUCACCUAUCUACUAUCCAUUCACCCAGAAUGCAUGCAUCCGCCCAUCCAUCCAGCACCCAUGCAUCUGUCUAACCAUCAUUUAUCCACUCACCAUUCAUCUACUGCCUAUCCAUCAUCAUCUAUUCAUCCACCUAGAAUGUAUGUAUCCAUCCAGCCGUCCAGCCAGCACCUAUGCAUUAUCUAUUAUCCAUCCACCAUGUCUAUCCACCCACCCAUCCUUUCAUUAUCCACCAUGAAGAUCUGUGUGGAUGAGAAGCUAUAGAGCUUUCUCUGCUUAUCUACUGUAAGGGUAAACUGCAUCUGUGCCCUUUUAGUUAUGAGACUGGGUCCUCUAUCUCUUGUUCUCCGUGUGGCUGUGACUGACAACACUAAUAAUCCAGCAGUCCCCCUUUGGCCUAUGUUCGGCAGGAAGUACCACUCUGAGUGACACCUGUCCAGAAAUCACUGUAGGUACUGAGAGGCCUAUUAGCCACAGAGAGGAAGGACUCUAACUGAGGAAGACAGUCGUUGGAGGCUGGGCUGAGAGUGAGAGGUAAUUUUCACCUCCAAGGAUCAUGUUUGGAAGAAUGAAAAGGGUCUCUGCCUUUCUUUACACUCUGUUGUUAAAAUCCUUUGAAAGUUUGGCUUCCAGCGGGUGUGUGUUUGGGAGAGGUCAGUUCUCUGCAUGAGGCAUGCUGCCUUACUGAGUUUGGGUUUCUUUGCUUGUAAAUAAUAUCUCACACAUGGAUCAUUAUGGGAAAAAAAGGGUAUUUUACAGAAAUCAUUCUUUCCACAUUACUUAAUUUGCUUCUUGUGGUGGUCUGAAUAUGCUUAGCCCAGGGAGUGUCACUACUAGGAGGUGUGGCCUUGUUGGAGGAAGUGUGUCACUCUUGGGAUAGGCCUUGAGACCCUUCUCCUUGCUGGCUGUGAGACAGUCUUCUCUUGUUUGUUUUUGGAACAAGAUGUAGAGCUCUCAGCUCCUCCAGUGUCAUUCCUGCCUGUACUCUGCCAUGCUUCCCACCAGGAUGACAAUGAACUGAACCCAAGAAUCUGUAAACCAGCCCCAAUCAAAUGUUGUCCUUUAUAAGAGUUGCUUUGGUCAAGGUGUCUCUUUCCACCUUGUCAUUUCUGAUCUUAGUAAAACUGUGACCAGGAUGGAAGUUCUAGAGGAUCCCUGUCAAGAUCUU